CGGCAAUUGAUAAAACUAGAAUAGUGAAGCGAAUAGUGCGAAUAGUCGACGAAUAGUACGAAUAGUCCGCGAAUAGUCGACGAAUAGUGCGAAUAGUCCGCGAAUAGUCGACGAAUAGUGCGAAUAGUCCGCGAAUAGUCGACGAAUAGUACGAAUAGUCCGCGAAUAGGCGACGAAUAGUACGAAUAGUGCAAUAGAGACUUUGCAAGGCUUUGCAGCAGUGCUGUAGAACUAAAUUUACCGGGGGGGGGGCUCUGUUGACAAACAUGAAAUCGUGAAAACAUUCGUCGACGUACGUCAAUGACGUCAUACGUCUAGUGAUUGUCAUCAGUGGCGCCGUGGCCGGGGGGGCCAGGUGGGGGGCAUGGCCCUCCCCUAUUGUUGACACCCGUCGUAAAAUUGCCAAUGCUGCCGGAAAUUGUCGGAAAAUUGUCAAGGCUGUCGG
rnacentral:lncRNA from 1 species